rnacentral:lncRNA from 1 species
CAUAACAUACAUUACAUUGCAUAUCAUGCAUAAUCAUCAUAAUGAUAUCCUUCCCAAUGAAGCCUACAAAAUACCAUAACCAUUUCCCCAGCAGUUGGUCUCAUAUCAAUACCAUUUUCCACCACAUAAAUACUUUACCACCUUCAUCUCCACAAGCAGAUGAACUUAUAUCAAGAUCAUUUAUCAUCCCGUAAAUAAU